AAGCUCGAGGAAAUUUUGAUGAAGGUGUCAGAGUUUGUUAAAUCGUCGUCAGGUACCGACCAGUUGGAAUUGGAUCAACUAUAUAUAGAAACUUGAUUAAUUGACAUCAACAUUUCUACACUGAAGAAACAUCACAUCGUAUGCUUAAUUUACAGCUUUCCAUGAGCUUGUUGCUGAUGCUUAUUCUGUUAUAAGAAAAGCUGUUCCACAAUCUGUUACAGUCACUCCCACUCUGUUUCAUGACGAAUAUCUACGGCAGGACAUUUUUGACGCUCUGACAAGUUUAGAGCCAUCCUGUCUUCCUUCUCUAUCACUUCAUUCAAUUCCUGGUUACAUUUACCGCAUUGAAGGUGUUGUAACUGGAGUGGAUGAAGAAACAGCUUGUUGUUGGUUGGUGUGUGACACGUGUGAGAAUCGU